AUGGGUACGCAUGUGCACCUUGAAUCUGAGACUGGAAAAAUCUUUCAAGAAGUGUCUGUUGUGUCCGUUGGUACCAUUGUGCCCUGGAAUUCAUUGUAUUCAGUAACAAGGGUUUAAGCGGAGGUGUGGACUGAUUGCUUCUCUGCUUUCUCCUCUACUGAGAAUCCAGUCAUGAUCCAAAGGAGAGGGGAAAGAGGGCAGGUAGUGGAACACACUGAUCAUUUGGUCAGUCAUUCAAGGGUGACCUGAUAAGUACUGAGAGUACAAGAUUGAAGUAUCAUAGUGGUGUCAGAUUCACUACCUCAGAAGGUCCUAGUGAGACUCUUCAGGAAUCUAGUUAUUAUUGGGUGAGUAAAAACAGAGUAGCUCUCUCCCCAAGGAUGGAAGAUAUUUACUGCUGCUAGGUGGGCUCGCAGAUAGCUAAUGGAAAAAAUCCGAUGUCUUGAGAGUGAGGAGGUAGUUAAAAAAGCAGGAACACCUACUGUCUCUGGCCACAACUAGUUUUGUUGUGCCAAGGUAGAGAAAUGCCUCCAUUUAGCUAGAGAACAUUUUUGAUGGAGUCUUAUCAAUUGUGAUUAAGAACAGUUUGAAAAGCCUCCGAAGAACAAUGCUUUAGGUCCGGCACCUAUACAAAUACCAGGCCAUGAGGUGAAGGGAGGCCAAGCUGGGAUGGCUGAUCCCAUCAUUCUCCUGAGUUAUCAGAUCUUGGAAGGGCUGAAUGCUAAUGAAAGUAUGGACUGACAUUUGUUAGAGGUCCAGAAACCAGAAAUGCCUGGGCCAGUUGGGUGCCAGCAGGUGCCGAUCUUGCAGCUUAUUAGUCAGAGCUCAAGUUGGUACAGACAGAUCCUUGCUUAUGCAUGUCUUAUCCUUUUGGUCAGCAGGUUUAGAUGGGCCUAAGACUUUAGGACCUGAGUACAAGGACUAACCUGAUUUAGAAGGAGUCAGGGUAGGGAUUUCUUCCUGUGGGACAAGAUCUGGAAGGAGAUCUGGUCCAGUGUUAGUGAGAGUGCCCCUUAUUCUCAUGAAAGGCCCUAGAUAAUGGGGCCCUAGAUUCUGGAGCUCAUGAUUAGAGAGGAACUGCUCGUGGACUGAGACCAACGUACUAGGGGGAUGGGCAUCUCUCUGACUAGGGUCUCAUGACUUUCUCCAUGAGGCACUUCCUCAGUAAAAACUCUCAUCUAUCUCAAGUUCAGGGAGGGAAGGAGCUGUGGAUGCUGCACUUGGUGGCGAUGAGUCUCCCUAAGGUAGUAUGAGCUGCCAAUGUGAUGCAGCCUUGAAAAAGGCUAAUGCAGUUCUAGGAUGCAUCAGGCAAGGUAUUUCCAGUAGGGACAGGCAAGUAUUAGUACCCUUAUACAAGGCAUUGGUGAAACCUCAUCUGGUCUCCAAAUGGUUAAGAAAGAUGAAUUCAUACUGGGAAAGGUGCAAAGACAGGUUAGUUGGACGAUCAGAUGAAUGGAAAAUCUUCCUUAGGAGAGGAGAAUCAAUGAGUUUGGCUUGUUUAGCCAGACCAAACAAUGGCUGAGGGGACAUAUAAUGGUGCUCUAUAAAUACAUCAGAGGGAUAAAUACCAGGGAAUGAGAGGAGUUAUUUAAGAUAAGCGCCAAUGUGGACACAAGAACAAAUGGGUAUAAACUGGCCAUCAACAAGGUAAGGCUUGAAAUUAGACAAAGGUUUCUAAGCAUCAGAGAAGAGAAGUUCUGGAACAGCCUUCCAAGGGGAUCAGUGGAGCCGAAAAAACUAACUGAUUCAAAACUGAGCUUGAAAAGUUUAUGGAGGGGAUGGUAUGCUGAGACUGCCUAUAAUGGCAUAUAGCCGAUCUGCGACUGCUAGCAGAAAAUAUCUUCAGUGGACGGUGAUGGGACACUAGAAGGGGAAGGUUCUGAGUAGCUACAGAGAAUUCCUUCCAAGGUGUCUGGCUCAGUGGAUCUAACUGAUUGCCAUAUUUGAGAUUGGAAAGGAAUUUUCCCCCGGGUCAGAUUGGCAGAGACCCUGGGGUUUUUCCCCUUCCUCUGCAGCCUAGGGCACAGAUCACUUAUAGGUUUAAACUAGAGUAAGUAGUGGAUUCUCUGUAACUUGAAGUCUUUAAAUCAUGAUUUGAGGACUUCAGUAACUCAGCCAGAUGUUAGAGGUCUAUUUCAAGAAUGGGUGAGUUUCCAUGGCCUGCAAUGUGCAGGAGAUCAGACUAGAUGAUCCUGAUGAUCCCUUCUGGCCUUAAAGUCUAUGAGUAGCAUCCUACCAAAUUCACAGUCACGAAAAAUGCAGCACAGACUGUGAAAUCUCCGCCUCAUGAAAUCUGGUGUUUUGUGUGCUUUUACCGUAUACUAUACUUCUACCAUAUACUAUAGACAUUUCACAUGGAAGACCAGCAUUUCUCAAAUUGGGGAUUCUAACCCAAAAUGGAGUUGUGGGGUAUGUGUGACAAGGUUAAUGUCGGGGGGGAGGGCUGUGGGAUUGCCACUCUUACUUCUGCGCUGCCUUCAGAGCUGGGUGGUUAGAGAGUGGUGGCUGGUGGCCGGGCGCCCAGCUCUGAAGGCAGCGCCCGGCCCGCAGCAGCACAGAAAUAAGGAUGGCAAUACCAUACCACGUCACCCUUGCUUCUGUGCUGCUGCCUGCAGAGCUGGGUGGUUGGAGAAUGACCGUUGCUGACUGGGUACCCAGCUCUGCAGGCAGCAGCGCAGAAGAGUGGCAAUACCAUACACUGCCAUUCUUAUUUCUGGGCUGCUGCCACUGUUGGUGACUCUGCCUUCAGAGAUGGGCUCCCAGCCAGCAGCCGCUGCUCUUCAGCUGCCCAGUUCUGAAGACAGUGCUACCACCUGAAGCAGUGCAGAAGUAAGGGUAGCAGUACCGCACCCCCCCGCUACAAUAACCUUGUGACCCCUCCCACAACUCCUUUUUGAGUCAGGACCCAGACAAUUACAACACCUUGAAAUUUUAGAUUUAAAUACCUGAAAUCAUGAAAUCUAUGAUUUUUUAAAAGCUAUGACUGUGAAAUUGACCAAAAUGGACCAUGAAUUUUGUAGGGCCCUAUCUAUGAGUCAAGGCAGCACUGGUGCUCAUCAAGAAGGAGAACACACAGGUUACAAACUUGUUGAACUCCAGAACUCUAGGCACGGCCCUUCUCCCGAGGGGGAGAAACAGGAAGGGUCCCCAAGACAGGGAAAACUAAUCUACGCUAACUAUAAAGAGACUACGAAAAAUGCCAGACUAACAACUAUGUACAAUUAUAUUUACAGACUGUGCAAAGAUAUCAUCAGACACAGAGGACUCCAACUUUGGCCAUGCAGUGGUGAGAAAGAACUGGAGAGGCAGGGCGACCUUUUCCAUCUCUUCCUGCUAGUCCGUUCUGAGCAGGUCUGCGCACAACUAGUAUACAUGCAUCCUGAUCCAGUUUUUGGACAUCCUGAG